rnacentral:lncRNA from 1 species
GCACCACAGGAAUAGACAGAAGCCCAGCUGUACUGUCGUGCCGUGGGCAUGGAGCAGGGAUUGGCACCAGCCAUGGUCCUCUCAGAUGCCACACUCUGGUGAAGGGGUGACAAGAAGCCCAGCUGUACUGCCGUGCCGUGCUGGAGGCACAGCCAAGGGCUGUCUCUGCUUUUUGCCCACAGAUCUACCAGGGGCCAGAGAGCAACACAGAGGUUUGUACUUUCCACCCUGGUGUUCCCGUCUUCCACGAGGGGAUGAAGUACUGGAGCUGCUGUGGGAUCAGAACGACGGACUUCAGUGCCUUCCUGGAGCAGCCGGGCUGCAGCACGGGGCGGCACUGCUGGAUGGGAAAGGCGGACAAGAAGGCGGUGUCAUGCAGGCAGGACUGGCACCAAACCAGCAGCCAAGUGGUGGUGACAAUCUAUGGCAAGAACCCUCUGCCCACCCUCAGCACUGUGAAGGCCAA